UGGUGCUUCAACAUUUUCCCA
ensembl:piRNA 21ur-3340 ncRNA